GACGAACGCUGGCGGCGUGCCUAAUACAUGCAAGUCGAGCGGACAGAUGGGAGCUUGCUCCCUGAUGUUAGCGGCGGACGGGUGAGUAACACGUGGGUAACCUGCCUGUAAGACUGGGAUAACUCCGGGAAACCGGGGCUAAUACCGGAUGGUUGUUUGAACCGCAUGGUUCAAACAUAAAAGGUGGCUUCGGCUACCACUUACAGAUGGACCCGCGGCGCAUUAGCUAGUUGGUGAGGUAACGGCUCACCAAGGCAACGAUGCGUAGCCGACCUGAGAGGGUGAUCGGCCACACUGGGACUGAGACCACGGCCCAGACUCCUACGGGAGGCAGCAGUAGGGAAUCUUCCGCAAUGGACGAAAGUCUGACGGAGCAACGCCGCGUGAGUGAUGAAGGUUU
rnacentral:rRNA from 1 species